rnacentral:RNase_P_RNA from 2 species
GUGAGUUGGUUAGAUAGCUUCGCCCUCCCGCCAAAAGGAGGGUGAGGAAGUUCCGUCCAUUGAGGGACCCGAAGACUAGGGAAGCCGAGAGGUUUGCCUUGAUAUCAGAAACGGUACCCGAACGCCCCAAUGGGAUGAUUGCAAAGGACGUCGGGCGGUCAGGGAUGAAACGGAUCAAGGCUUCCGGUGAGAUGCAAGCCGCAGGCGCUUAGACGAAUGCUAUCUUGAAAACAGAAGACGGGCUAAAACCGACACAC